rnacentral:rRNA from 1 species
CCUACGGGAGGCUGCAGUGGGGAAUAUUGGACAAUGGGCGAAAGCCUGAUCCAGCCAUGCCGCGUGUGUGAAGAAGGCCUUCGGGUUGUAAAGCACUUUCAGUGGGGAAGAAAGCCUUGGGGCUAAUACCCUCGAGGAAGGACAUCACCCACAGAAGAAGCACCGGCUAACUCCGUGCCAGCAGCCGCGGUAAUACGGAGGGUGCGAGCGUUAAUCGGAAUUACUGGGCGUAAAGCGCGCGUAGGCGGUCUGAUAAGCCGGUUGUGAAAGCCCCGGGCUCAACCUGGGAACGGCAUCCGGAACUGUCAGGCUAGAGUGCAGGAGGGGAAGGUAGAAUUCCCGGUGUAGCGGUGAAAUGCGUAGAGAUCGGGAGGAAUACCAGUGGCGAAGGCGGCCUUCUGGACUGACACUGACGCUGAGGUGCGAAAGCGUGGGUAGCAAACAGGAUUAGAUACCCUGGUAGUC